rnacentral:rRNA from 1 species
UCGAGGAUCUUCGGCAAUGGGCGCAAGCCUGACCGAGCGACGCCGCGUGCGCGAUGAAGGCCUUCGGGUUGUAAAGCGCUGUCGAGGGGGAGGAAGACCCGUAAGGGUUUGACCUAUCCCUGGAGGAAGCACGGGCUAAGUUCGUGCCAGCAGCCGCGGUAAGACGAACCGUGCGAACGUUAUUCGGAAUCACUGGGCUUAAAGGGCGCGUAGGCGGCUUCCCAAGCCCGGGGUGAAAUCUUUCGGCUUAACCGGAAAAGGGCCUCGGGGACUGGGGGGCUAGAGGGGGGUAGGGGCAAGCGGAACUUCCGGUGGAGCGGUGAAAUGCGUUGAUAUCGGAAGGAACGCCGGCGGCGAAAGCGGCUUGCUGGACCCCAUCUGACGCUGAUGCGCGAAAGCCAGGGGAGCGAACGG